AGGACGAACGCUGGCGGCGUGCUUAACACAUGCAAGUCGAGCGGUGAUCCUCCUUCGGGAGGUGAUCAGCGGCGAACGGGUGAGUAACACGUGGGCAACCUGCCCCCUCACACUGGGAUAAACCUCGGGAAACCGGGGCUAAUACCGGAUACGACCUCGAGCGGCAUCUCUUGAGGUGGAAAGCUCCGACGGUGAGGGAUGGGCCCGCGGCCUAUCAGCUUGUGGUGGGUAAUGGCCUACCAAGGCGACGACGGGUA
rnacentral:rRNA from 1 species